GAUGAACGCUGGCGGCGUGCCUAAUACAUGCAAGUCGAGCGAACGGACGAGAAGCUUGCUUCUCUGAUGUUAGCGGCGGACGGGUGAGUAACACGUGGAUAACCUACCUAUAAGACUGGGAUAACUUCGGGAAACCGGAGCUAAUACCGGAUGAUAUUUUGAACCGCAUGGUUCAAAAGUGAAAGACGGUCUUGCUGUAACUUAUAGAUGGAUCCGCGCUGCAUUAGCUAGUUGGUAAGGUAACGGCUUACCAAGGCAACGAUGCAUAGCCGACCUGAGAGGCGGAUCGGCCACACUGGAACUGAGACACGGUCCAGACUCCUACGGUAGGCAGCAGUAGGGAAUCUUCCGCAAUGGUCGAAAGCCUUACGGAGCAACGCCGCGUGAGUGAUGAAGGUCUUCGGAUCGUAAAACUCUGUUAUGAGUGAAGAACAUAUGUGUAAGUAACUGUGCACAUCUUGACGGUACCUAAUCAGAAAGCCACGGCUAACUACGUG
rnacentral:rRNA from 1 species